GUACAAUCUCUUACUGUUAGACAGUGAAGGAAUAGAUGCCUAUGAUCAAACACAAUAUGAAUGGCUUAUUGGAUCACAAUAUGCUACAUCUGAUUGGGUUGCAAUAAGAAAACCUCCACCUUGUGCCAUUGAUUCUUGGGGCUUAGAUGCUGAAGCGUGAAAGAAAGGGUUCUUCCUACUCAAUGUUUUGAUUUAUAGGACCAAACAUCAAG